CUGAUGAAAGGGGCUAAAGCUAGCUUCAUUUCUUGCAGGUCUAGUUCUGAGUCUAGGGACAGAAGUUUUAGCUUUGGCUGGACACCCAUAGCCCUCUGUGACCUGUCAGUAUUUUUAACUUCACGAUGACUCCUAAGUGGACUGCUGUCCACUGGCCACAACUUACUGAAACUUUCUCCAUAUUCAGCAUUUAUUAAGGACUGGAGGUUCCAAGAUGUAGACAAGACCCCAGGAGCUGCAGCAGUCAUCUGCUCACACUGAAGUUCGUAGAACUAAAAGACGGAAGGAGCCUGGGAUGCUGAUGAAAUUGUGAAGCUACUGACACAAGCCCUGGACUGCCUAUCUCUGGACUCUACUGGAUGGGUCCACAUGGCAAGGAACCAAGGGUAGCCUCUGGCCAGCAACCAGAGAAGAUAAAGAUCUCCAACAACGUCUGCGUUUGGAAGAGGAUUGUUCUUCCGUAGAGUUUUCUGAUGAGGCCCCAGCCUUGGCAACAUCUUGACUGUCUCCUUGUAAAGGGACCUUGAGACAGAGGACUCAGCUCAGCCGUGCCAGACUCCUGACUCACAGAAACAGUGAGAUUAUAAAAACAAACUGUUUUAAGCCACUAAGUUUUGAGUAAUUUGUCACACAGUAGAUAAUAAACUUCCAUAGA
rnacentral:lncRNA from 1 species